GACGAACGCUGGCGGCGUGGAUUAGGCAUACAAGUCGAACGCGAACGGUUUCCUUCGGGAAACUUAUUAGAGUGGCGAACGGGUGAGUAACGCGUAGGUAAUCUACCUUUAAGUGGGGGAUAGCCCCGGGAAACCGGGAUUAAUACCGCAUGUGGUGUUUCGGCACUAAAGAUGGCCUCUAUUUAUAAGCUAUUGCUUAGAGAUGAGCCUGCGUCCUAUUAGUUAGUUGGUAAGGUAAUGGCUUACCAAGGCGAUGAUAGGUAGGCGGCCUUAACGGGUGGUCGCCCACACUGGGAUUGAGAUACGGCCCAG
rnacentral:rRNA from 1 species